UACGUAGGGUGCAAGCGUUGUCCGGAAUUAUUGGGCGUAAAGGGCUCGUAGGCGGUUUGUCGCGUCGGGAGUGAAAUCCAUUGGCUUAACUGGUGGCUUGCUUUCGAUACGGGCAGACUAGAGGUAUGCAGGGGAGAACGGAAUUCCUGGUGUAGCGGUGAAAUGCGCAGAUAUCAGGAGGAACACCGGUGGCGAAGGCGGUUCUCUGGGCAUUACCUGACGCUGAGGAGCGAAAGUGUGGGGAGCGAACAGG
rnacentral:rRNA from 1 species